rnacentral:rRNA from 1 species
CCUACGGGAGGCAGCAGUGGGGAAUAUUGCGCAAUGGGCGAAAGCCUGACGCAGCAACGCCGCGUGGGGGAUGAAGGUUCUCGGAUUGUAAACCCCUUUCGAUCGGAACGAAUCUCCUCCUGGUAAAUAAUCAGGAGGAUCGACGGUACCGGGAGAAGAAGCCACGGCUAACUCUGUGCCAGCAGCCGCGGUAAGACAGAGGUGGCGAGCGUUGUUCGGAUUUAUUGGGCGUAAAGCGAACGCAGGUGGUUUGGUAAGUCAGAGGUGAAAGACCACAGCUUAACUGUGGCACUGCCUUUGAUACUGCCUUUCUAGAGUGCAUGAGGGGGAAGCGGAAUUCCGAGUGUAGAGGUGAAAUUCGUAGAUAUUCGGAGGAACACCGGUGGCGAAGGCGGCUUCCUGGCAUGUAACUGACACUCAUGUUCGAAAGCGUGGGUAGCAAACAGGAUUAGAUACCCUGGUAGUCCACGCCCUAAACGAUGGGCACUAGGUGUGGGAGGUAUCGACCCCUUCCGUGCCGCAGCUAACGCAUUAAGUGCCCCGCCUGGGGGAGUACGGGCCGCAAGGUUGAAACUCAAAGGAAUUGACGG